rnacentral:rRNA from 1 species
GACGAACGCUGGCGGCGUGCUUAACACAUGCAAGUCGAACGGGAAGGCCCUUCGGGGUACACGAGUGGCGAACGGGUGAGUAACACGUGGGUGAUCUGCCCUGCACUUCGGGAUAAGCCUGGGAAACUGGGUCUAAUACCGGAUAGGACCACUGCCUGCAUGGGUGGUGGUGGAAAGCUUUUGCGGUGUGGGAUGGGCCCGCGGCCUAUCAGCUUGUUGGUGGGGUGAUGGCCUACCAAGGCGACGACGGGUAGCCGGCCUGAGAGGGUGACCGGCCACACUGGGACUGAGAUACGGCCCAGACUCCUACGGGAGGCAGCAGUGGGGAAUAUUGCACAAUGGGCGCAAGCCUGAUGCAACGACGCCGCGUGAGGGAUGACGGCCUUCGGGCUGUAAACCUCUUUCAGCACCGACGAAGCGCAAGUGACGGUAGGUGCAGAAGAAGGACCGGCCAACUACGUGCCAGCAGCCGCGGUAA